GCACAGCCAAUGUGGACAGGGAGCUAGCUGGGCUUACACAUUGCUGCCCCGUGGCUUUCCUCAGUGAAAGCUCACUUUCUCUGUUUUUCUCUUCAUCUGGCUCUCACAGCCUGACCUCCUCGUGUGUGCUGAUUCUGAGCUGGCAGCAUUGUUGCUCUCUAAGUCUCUAACCUCUUUUCUCUGAGCUCCAGCUCCUGUCACUAUUAAGCAGGGGAAUGUUGGCCCUGUGUUCCCACAGGUAGUAAGGUUGAACUGAUUCCUGAGACAGUUUGCUUCUCCUUGACCCUGCUCCUAUCUUCGGGUACUCGUGAAUAGAAGACUAGUCUAGCUAUUCUCACCUUUCAGAGACCAAGACUCACUGUUUAUCAUUUUCUUUUACAUUACUUGGUGCCUGGACUUUGGAGUUAGGGUUGUCACUCUGUAGUGAAAUGAAGAGACUUUAUUUGGGCUCAUAUGUCCUCUAAAACUCUUAGCUAUGAGAGAGAAUGAACGGUGGGAAGAGGAUGGGAUAUAAGUUCAGACAGAUGUAGACUUGAAUCCUUGAAUUUUCCCUGUCACUUAUUUAACAUGAUGAUGUAGGGAUGUUAAAUCUCGGGUGCUUUACUUCAGUGUUCCUAUGAGAUCUUUCCUGCUGUCACUAAUAUGGUACUUCACUGGUUGCUGAGGUGACUCAAGAAGGGAUAAAGGGAAAUCACUUAUGCUAUGUGGGAAGAUUGUUGUAUUAGUCAGGGUUCUCUAGAGUUACAGAACUUGUAGAAUGUCUCUAUAUAUUAAGGGAAUUUAUUGUGAUGUCCUACAGUCUGUAGUCUAACUAAUGUACAGCUGUGGAUGGGACGUCCAAGAAUCUACUAGUUACUCAGUCACACGAGGCUAGGUAUUUGAGUUGCUCUGUUUUAAAAAAAUUUUAUUUAUUUUAUGUAUAUUGUACAUUGUAGCUGUCUUCAGAUGGUUGUGAGCCACCAUGUGGUUGCUGGGAAUUGAGCUCAGGACCUGUGGAAGAGUAGCCAGUGCUCUUAACCAUUGAGCCAUCUCUCCAGCCCUGAGUUGGUCUGCUGUAGAAGUAGAUUCCAACAGAUGUGCUGGCAGACGGGCCUCUGGAAGACUGUGAACAAGACCACGAUGUGACUAGAGUGGAAGUGAAGAAAAAGCCACUCUCCUUGGAAUAUGGAGAAUAGAUUGAAGAACAGCUGUCUUCAAGACAAGAGGACAACGAUGCUGGCAAAAUGUGGGAAAUGUGGAAGCCCCUCAUAUAUUGUUAAUAUAGCUGCUGCAGAUAUCAGCAUGGACACUUUUGUAAGACUAAAAGUGAAACCACUAUAUGGCCCAACUGUACUUCCAGGCAACACCAGCAGGACUGAAAGGCAAUAUACCACAGAGAAAUUUACAUAACCAUGCUUUCUGCUGCGCUAGUCACAAUUGCUAAAAAAUAGAGCUCUCCUAGAUGUCCAUCAAGAAAUCAAUGGACAGGAGCUGGAGAGAUGGCUCUGUUUAAGAGCACUGGAUGCUCUUCCAGAGAGCCUAGGUUAAAAUCUGGAAUUGAAGUUCCAGGGCAUCUGGACUCCACAUGCUCAAGGCAUACAUGUGUUCCUUGAACAUACGUGCAGGCAAAACAUAUAUACAUAUGAAAUAAACAAAGAGUAAAUAAAAAAGAAUGAAUGUAUAGCAAAUUUUAAAAAGCGUACAUAUACACACCAGAACUUUAUUCAGUUAUGGAGGAAAAUGAAAUGGUGUCAUUUGCAGGAAAAUAGAUGGAACUGAAGAUCAUAUUAAGCAAGAUAAGCCAGACUUAGAAAGACAAAUGCUACAUGUUUUCUCUUGCGUUCAGAAUCCAGAUUUAAAUGUGUGUGUUGGGGACUAGAGGGACCAUGGCAGGGGAGGAAGUGAAGAAAGGGCAAAAGGAGAAACCCUUGGUCCUGCCAAGGCUCAACCCUCAGUGUGGGG
ensembl:lncRNA